AAUAUAUGUUAAGUGGAAAAGGAUGUGGGGUUGCUUAGACAACCAGGAUGUUGGCUUAGAAGCAGCCACCAUUGAAAGAGUGCGUAAUAGCUCACUGGUCGAGUGACCCCGCGCCGAAAAUGUACCGGGGCUAAACAUAUUACCGAAACUGUGGAUGAACCUCUUUAGAGGUUCGUGGUAGGAGAGCGUUCUAAGGGCGGUGAAGUCAGACCGGAAGGACUGGUGGAGCGCUUAGAAGUGAGAAUGCCGGUAUGAGUAGCGAAAGAAGGGUGAGAAUCCCUUCCACCGAAUAUCUAAGGUUUCCUGAGGAAGGCUCGUCCGCUCAGGGUUAGUCGGGACCUAAGCCGAGGCCGAUAGGCGUAGGCGAUGGACAACAGGUAGAGAUUCCUGUACCAGUGCUAAUUGUUUAACCGAUGGGGUGACACAGAAGGAUAGGGAAUCGCACGAAUGGAAAUGUGCGUCCAAGCAGUGAGUGUGAGAAGUAGGCAAAUCCGCUUCUCGCGAAGCAUGAGCUGUGAUGGGGAAGGAAAUUAAGUACGGAAGUUCCUGAUUUCACGCUGUCAAGAAAAGCCUCUAGGAAGAGUAGUACUGCCCGUACCGCAAACCGACACAGGUAGAUGAGGAGAGAAUCCUAAGGUGAGCGAGAGAACUCUCGUUAAGGAACUCGGCAAAAUGACCCCGUAACUUCGGGAGAAGGGGUGCUCUAUUAGGGUGCAAGCCCGAGAGAGCCGCAGUGAAUAGGCCC
rnacentral:rRNA from 1 species